CUCAUAAAUGUCACUUAUAAACCCCCGAACCUAAAAAAUAAAAGUUGAAAAAUAUAAAAAUUUAAAAGCACCAAAAAAAAAGAAGACACAUCACUUAAGGGUUUGGUACCCAUUGUGAUAGGGCCAGAUUUGUAUUAGCAUGAUGCUAGCUGCUGUAAAACACUCCAAAUGGAUGGUGAUCCAAUUAUAGAAAUGUAUUUCUCAUUUAAUAAAGUCCAAAAUAGAUUUUAAAAAGAAAGAAAAGUGCAAACUAAUCUGUAUCAGUCAGCGUCCUCCAGAAGGACAUGUAUACAUGAAAGGGACUUUAUUAAGGAGAAGUGACUCACACAAUCACAAGGUGAAGUCACAAUAGGCCACCUGCAACUGAAGGGCCAGGAAGCCAAUAGUGGCUCAGUCUGAGUCCCAAAGGCUCAAACAUAGAGAAGCUGACAGUUCAAUCUGUGGCUGAUGGUCUCAGAGCCCCAGGCAAACCACUAGUCCACACUGGCAGCCAAUUGGAUGGUGUUCACCUGCAUUGAGGAUGGCCCUGGAUUGAUUUGCCAAAGAUCCACCCAGGAAUCCUGACUCAUUGUAGCAGGGUGGAGAUUUUCUGAGCUAAGCGAGACCUUUCCUCAGAGGUCAUUUUCUCUGCCACUUCUCCUGAGGCAACUCCUGCAGCAAGCCCCCAAGGACAGAAUCAGAUAAUAGGAAUUCAAAAACCUGACUUCACUGUGAGCUAUGAUACAAGGUCCAAGACCUUCAGCAGCAGCCAGUUUUACUGAGUUACUAAUAGUCAAGGAGCAGAAAAAGAAUUGUCCUCUCCAAAAACCAUCCAACGGUGGAGUGGGUAGCCUGAUGCACUUCUGGAGUCCUCCUUAUUUGCACUGAAGUGGCAGCUGGGGCAAGAAAAGGAUAUAUCACAGUAUCCGAACUAAGCUGACUACUCAUGCUUCGAUGAGGCACCUAUUCAGGUUUCUCAUCUUCUCUUAUAAAUCAUGA
rnacentral:lncRNA from 13 species